rnacentral:rRNA from 1 species
AUUGAACGCUGGCGGCAGGCCUAACACAUGCAAGUCGAGCGGAUGAAGGGAGCUUGCUCCUGGAUUCAGCGGCGGACGGGUGAGUAAUGCCUAGGAAUCUGCCUGGUAGUGGGGGAUAACGUCCGGAAACGGGCGCUAAUACCGCAUACGUCCUGAGGGAGAAAGUGGGGGAUCUUCGGACCUCACGCUAUCAGAUGAGCCUAGGUCGGAUUAGCUAGUUGGUGGGGUAAAGGCCUACCAAGGCGACGAUCCGUAACUGGUCUGAGAGGAUGAUCAGUCACACUGGAACUGAGACACGGUCCAGAGUCCUACGGGAGGCAGCAGUGGGGAAUAUUGGACAAUGGGCGAAAGCCUGAUCCAGCCAUGCCGCGUGUGUGAAGAAGGUCUUCGGAUUGUAAAGCACUUUAAGUUGGGAGGAAGGGCAGUAAGUUAAUACCUUGCUGUUUUGACGUUACCAACAGAAUAAGCACCGGCUAACUUCGG